rnacentral:rRNA from 1 species
UACGAAGGGGGCUAGCGUUGUUCGGAAUUACUGGGCGUAAAGCGCGUGUAGGCGGACUUGUAAGUUGGGGGUGAAAUCCCGGGGCUCAACUCCGGAAUUGCCUUCAAGACUGCAAGUCUGGAGGUCAGGAGAGGCGAGCGGAAUUCCGAGUGUAGAGGUGAAAUUCGUAGAUAUUCGGAGGAACACCAGUGGCGAAGGCGGCUCGCUGGACUGAUACUGACGCUGAGGUGCGAAAGCGUGGGGAGCAAACAGG